rnacentral:rRNA from 1 species
AGAGUUUGAUUAUGGCUCAGGAUGAACGCUGGCGGCGUGCUUAACACAUGCAAGUCGAACGGGGAUUAUUUCAUUGAAGCUUCGGCAGAUUUGGCUUAAUCCUAGUGGCGGACGGGUGAGUAACGCGUGGGCAACCUGCCUUGUACAGGGGGAUAACAGUCAGAAAUGACUGCUAAUACCGCAUAAGCGCACAGGACCGCAUGGUCCGGUGUGAAAAACUCCGGUGGUAUAAGAUGGACCCGCGUUGGAUUAGCUUGUUGGUGGGGUAACGGCCCACCAAGGCGACGAUCCAUAGCCGGCCUGAGAGGGUGAACGGCCACAUUGGGACUGAGACACGGCCCAG